UACGGAGGGUGCGAGCGUUAAUCGGAAUUACUGGGCGUAAAGCGCGCGUAGGCGGUUCGAUAAGUCAGAUGUGAAAUCCCCGGGCUCAACCUGGGAAUGGCAUUUGAUACUGUCAGACUGGAGUGUGGUAGAGGGAAGUGGAAGUCCGCAUGUAGCGGUGAAAUGCGUAGAUAUGCGGAGGAACACCAGUGGCGAAAGCGGCUUCCUGGACCAACACUGACGCUGAGGUGCGAAAGCGUGGGGAGCAAACAGG
rnacentral:rRNA from 1 species